rnacentral:rRNA from 1 species
AUUGAACGCUGGCGGCAGGCUUAACACAUGCAAGUCGAGCGAGCGGCGGACGGGUGAGUAAUGUCUGGGAAUCUGCCUGAUGGAGGGGGAUAACUACUGGAAACGGUAGCUAAUACCGCAUACCAUCAGAUGUGCCCAGAUGGGAUUAGCUAGUAGGUGGGGUAAUGGCUCACCUAGGCGACGAUCCCUAGCUGGUCUGAGAGGAUGACCAGCCACACUGGAACUGAGACACGGUCCAGAGGCCUACGGGAGGCAGCAGUGGGGACUAUUGCACGAUGGGGGCAAGCCUGAUGCAGCCAUGCCGCGAGUGUGAAGACGGCCGUCGGGUUGUAAAGCACUUUCAGCGAGGAGGCGUUACUCGCAGAAGAAGCACCGGCUAACUCCGUGCCAGCCGCCGCGGUAAUUC